UGGGAGCCGCCGGAUUCGGUUUUAAAAAACGCCGGGGGAGUCGGCGGCGCGAGCCAUUGGAACCCCAGGCAGCGCGUCGCGCGUGGGUCCGGCCCCGCGGGCGCACGCGACCCGGGCGCUCCCAGGCCUCCCAGGCGCCAGCCUCCGCCCGCGAGCCCAGGAGGCGGGGAAGGAGCCGCGCACCGAGACCCUCCGCGUCCGCCAUGGGCCCGCGCCGCCGGGGACGCAAGGCCGGCACCCCCAGGAGGCGCGCCGCGAGCCCGGCCCCCGCCACCCCUCGGCGGGGCGCCCCCUCAGGCACUCCUUCCCGUCCACCUGCGCGCCCAUCCCAUCGCCCAUCUGCCCGCCGGGGACAUCUGAUCUUGAAGGAGAUCCGGAAUCUUCAGAAGAGCACGCACCUGUUAUUAAGGAAGAUGCCCUUUUGCCGCCUGGUCAGAGAAAUAUGUGUUAAAUUCACUCGUGGCGUGGACUUCAACUGGCAAGCCCAUGCCCUGCUGGCCCUACAGGAGGCGGCAGAAGCGUUCCUAGUCCAUCUCUUUGAGGACGCCUACCUCCUGUCCCUGCAUGCCGGGCGCGUCACCCUCUUCCCGAAGGACGUGCAGCUGGCCAGGAGGAUCCGCGGCAUCCAGGAAGGGCUGGGCUGAGCAGCCGCCCGUAAGCCUGCCCUGCCCGCCAGGGCCCGUGGGGGCGGGAGGAGCGCCCGCCUCCCAUCCGCGGGGAGGGGGGGAUGACACCAGGGACUCUGUCUGGAGCCGGGACCAGAUCCGGGGAGUCCGGGAUGCUGCCUGGACUUGCUACCUCUGAGCCGAGUGUGCAUGUUGGUUUUGUAAUGUUUUUUUUUUGUUGUUGUUGUUUUAAGAACUUCGUGCCUCUCCUCUGCAACAAGGUCAUGUAUAAGAAAAUUAACAUGGUUCCAGAGGCCUGAGAAGUAUUUUCAGAGAGACUCUGAGGUUGCCUUCCGUGUAUACAUUACUCACAUCACUGCUUAGCGAUUCUGAAGACAUCAGAUUUGUUAAUUACCAUUUCCAUCUCCCUCCUCCCUUCGUUUACAUUUUUUACCGCUUGUAUAUUUACUUCUAUUUAACGCACCAGGGAAAAAUAAGAGAAGAACACUCCCGUCCAUUGCAUGGGGAGCCUGUACCUCUCUGUCCUUUAAUUAACUUCAUUGGCGGCGGCAAGUGCCGAUGCAGAGCCACACGCUGUCCCCGUGGCCCAAUGGCCUGACGUUGGUACUGAGCUAUGGAGUCGGUGUGUGGUGGCUGUCAACUGUAGCUUCUCAAAAACUCAGUUGGGGUGGAAACUGAAUAUCUUUUAAAGUUAAAUGUUCCGACUCUUCUUGGUAAAUGUCUGUCAAAAUCAUUCAAGAGCUCUAUCGUAUACAAAUGUGUAAAUCACAGAAGAUGCAACAUGUAUUUAGAAUUUUUCAUCCCAGGAUUUUAAAGUGACUUUUCAAUGUAUGGACAGGUAUUUUCAUAACUUCUUUGCGGAGAGAUUAUAAAAAAUAAAAAUAAUUAUUUUAUGAAA